rnacentral:lncRNA from 1 species
UUAGAUUAGAGUGCAUUUUGUAAUCUAGCUAAAAGCUUUGUAAAACUUGGAGUAUAUAACCAAGUUAGUAGCAUCAGUUGAACUUGUUCAAAUUACUUGAGAGAAAAAUCUGAGAGUUAGAACUUGUUUGAGUGAUGAACCAGCAGCUGUGCGAAUUGUAAUCAAUCCACAGAUUCUUCUAUAUAAAAUCUCACGGGUGGAUCAUUCAAUCCACCCGUAUUUUUAAAUACUUGGUGUUUCCUGUUUUACUGUGAUUAAGUGUAUUGUUUCUUGAAUCUUUUAAUUUGUAAAAGAUUGUAUUCAACCCCCC